UUUUACAUUAAUUAUUGCAAAGUAUAAUUGACAUUUUGAUUUCUAAUUCAUGCGCAAUAUUUUUAAUCAUUUGAAUAAUCUACAUCGUUUGGUACCUAAUGACUUUUAAAGCAAUCAGUUAUAUCAAGUAUUUAUUUUGUUUUUAAUGGUUAUAAAAUGAGUUUGGUUCCUUGUCCGUGGUGAUUCAUACAACAUUUAUCAAUUUUGAAUUUAAAUCCAAAAUCCAUUAAAACUAUUUUUAACAUGUCAAAAUUAGUUUAUUUUUUAAAGUAAACUCUAGAAUCUAGAUGGAAUUAUUCUAGACAAACUUAAUCACAGGUUUGUGGUUAUUUCUUUCACAGAAAUGUUCAUUGCUGUAAAUUCAGUUCCAGACGAUAACUUUUCUCUCCGCAUAGUCACAACAUAAGUAUUGAUGGGGUUAGAAAAAGGCCUUGUGUGUUGCACAAUCAAGUGCAGCCAAUCACUGUUUGUGUAAAAAAAAAAAAGAUACUUCAUAACUUUAAAUGCUAUGAUAGUUUACACUGCUGAAUCAAAUAACAAAGUUAAAUUAUUAAUUUAAAGUAAUAUAUUUCUAUUCUUCCUUAGUUUUAGUUUUCACCAAUGUUAUUUUAGAUACAACUGUUUUAAUUAAAAUAAGUAAGUUACAAUUAGUUUCCAUCUUAAAAGUAGUUUUAAGAAUUUAAAAUUUAGAUUUAAUGAAAGAGGAUUGUGAA